GACGAACGCUGGCGGCGUGCUUAACACAUGCAAGUCGAACGGAAAGGCCCUGCUUUUGUGGGGUGCUCGAGUGGCGAACGGGUGAGUAACACGUGAGUAACCUGCCCUUGACUUUGGGAUAACUUCAGGAAACUGGGGCUAAUACCGGAUAGGAGCUCCUGCUGCAUGGUGGGGGUUGGAAAGUUUCGGCGGUUGGGGAUGGACUCGCGGCUUAUCAGCUUGUUGGUGGGGUAGUGGCUUACCAAGGCUUUGACGGGUAGCCGGCCUGAGAGGGUGACCGGCCACAUUGGGACUGAGAUACGGCCCAGACUCCUACGGGAGGCAGCAGGGGGGAAUAUUGCACAAUGGGCGGAAGCCUGAUGCAGCCACGCCGGGUGCGGGAUAACGGCCUUCGGGUGGUAAACCGCUUUCGCCUGUGACGAAGCGUGAGUGACGGGAAUGGGUAAAGAAGCACCGGCUAACUACGUG
rnacentral:rRNA from 1 species